GUAUCUGUUACGCCGAGGGAUGCUAGGAAUAGAGCAGCCUCUUUAGGCGACGUAGCUCUGUAGGUCUUAUCUGCUGUAUGCACUAUUAAAGCCCUUGGAGAGGACCGCUUCCUGUAAUUUCUGGGUAAUGGGUCGCAUGGCUCGUCUCCAUUGCAGGGUGGAGCGGGUGAGAUCGUGAUAGGUCAGGUUGUGUGUUUUGAAGUUUAGUGGUGCUUUAUCUCUUACUGUGUUCAUGAGCUUUUGCUUAUCCGCCCAGGAUUGAAAUCGGACUAUUAUGUCUCUAGAUGAGGCAGUAGGUGCUCUGGGUGACUUAGCUAUUCGGUAGACACCAUAAAAAACACUAUUGAUUUCGCCAGUGUUGUAUUACACAGCUUAGGCUAGCAAUCUUCUUAUGAGGUGGGGUAGCUCCUCUGAUGCCACUGCACCCCUCUGAUUUUCAAGUUUUUCCUCUGGCCUCUGUCAUCGAGGGAGUCUACUUGGUGGUAGUAUGUGAGGACUGUAGAUUUUGCACCUUCCCAUGCUCGGUGCGCUCACCAUGUUUUGCCCUCUGUGUGCCUGCAAGCAGCUUGCUGAU